rnacentral:lncRNA from 1 species
CCUUCCCUCAUGCUCCAGGUACCCUGUGCAGGAGUAAUCUAAACGACUUGGGUAACCGAGAUAAGAUCCUUGCUGCCAUUAAACAUUGACAGGCCCCAGUGUGUUUGCCUGGCGAAGUCAUAGGAGAUAUCUCCAUGGCAGCGCAUCCGCCCUUACAAAGCAGGAAACCUUGAUUUCUACAGAGGCUGUUUCCUCCCAGCCUUGCGCAAGGCCCGCUGCAGAGACAAAAUCAUGGUGGCAAAAGUGUGAACGCCAAAGCCACACUGGUGAGAGCCAGUGGCCAGGCAGCUGCAGUCACCCCAGCGAGGGUGGACAGGCCAGGCUGAGGUCAGGAUGGUAGAGGAGGUGGUGGAGGUGAUGAGGUACCAGAGCAACCUCGAAGAAAGGUGAGAAGCAGGGGACCACCAAAGGCAAACCUGGAACACCUGGUGACUCCGGCUAACUCUCCAUGUGGUGUCCAAGAGGACUUUUCUGAUACUGCUACCACUGCUAAUA